rnacentral:lncRNA from 1 species
CGGGUUGAAUCCAGAGUAAAGCUGACGGGAUGUGAUGUUUACGCGCCACCUCCGCAGCCCAAUGAAGGCAUAAAGAGUAGACAAUGCAAGUAAUGGGUUUACCUUCGUUUUCACUGCUUGUUAUAUACUCAGAGAUGGCAUCUUUGCCUCGUCGCUUGAAUUCAGACAAGUAAUGGUCUGUGUCAUCGCCGGGUUUAAUUCCGUCGUCGUAGCCAUCUGAAAAAGGUAAAAACGAUAGGCCUUCAGCGGUGGGGACUUUGGUCAUGCGGCGGCUGGCGGAGAUGCUGGUGAUGUAAGUUACACGUACGCCGAUACGAAUAAGAUGCUUGGCGAAUUGUAAGGUCGGGUUUAUGUGGCCUUGUGCAGGAUAGGUCACUACGAUGAAAUGAGGUUGUGGCAUGAUGGUGACGGCGGCGCGUGGGUAGUGAAUUAUCCUUUCUCUUUUUACUAAUUUGGAGUAAUUCGUGAAGGAAAUUAAUGGGUUUUUAUAGUGAUGAGAGGAAUUCAUAAAAGGUGACGUUUGAGCUGACGAAUUUCAUAGAUUCCUAAACCUUUUUGGAUUUAUCUGGUGUUUUUUUAAGGCUUAGGUUGCAGCUUGAUGCAUGAUGCUGUCAGAGACACUUUCAGACUACACGACUCUUGGGGGUUUGAACUUGAUUCACCAAUUAUAGUUUAGGUUAAACUAAACCCCAACACUAAACUGGUAAGUUUAUAUUUGGUUAAACUACCUACCAAGUUAUCCAUCUAUGCUUAAACUUUUUUUUUACUCACUCAAUUUUUAAAACUUUCGAAAUGGUCACUCAAUUAAUUGAAUUCGAUAUUUUUGAUCCAUAUCCCUUAAGCAUUGUUAAAUGCCUUAUCUUUGUAUAUCUGGUAGAUUAGGUAUUUGUAAAGUUGAGGGUUAAUUUUUGAAAAUUAUGAUUAAAUUGACAUAAAAUAUAAAUUUUGAUGGCUAAAUUUGUUAUUAUACUAAUUAUAAAGUAUUACCUCAACCUCGUGUUCAAACCCUUAACGGAAAUGGACGGAAAAAUAAAUUUGAUUAGUUAGGUGACAAUUUUGAAAGUUUUAAAAGUUGAGUGAAAAAAAAGAAGCUUAAACAUAUUUGAGUGGCUUGCAAUGUAGAUUAGCUUCUAUAUUUUGAUUACUCAACUUUUAGAUUUUACAAAAUGGUCACUGAACUAUUCGAAAGUUUUCAUUUAAGUAACUAAAUUAUUCGAAAUAUAUAAUUUAAGUCACUAGGCCGUUAAAUAUUUUUUUAAGUCCGACUAGCAAGCUCCAAGUAGGGGUGAUAUCAGUUCGGUUUGGUUGAGUUUUUCAAAUCUUUUGAAUUGUCCAUCAUAAUUCGAUUUGGCUCAGUUCAAUUUUUCCAUAUUAAUUUUUUAUUUUGAUUUUUUAAAUUUAUUUUGAUAAAAUGAGCUUUGUUUUAUGGCUUUUGAAUAUUAUUUGACAAAAUUUCAAGAUUUUUUUUAUAAAUAUUUCUAAAAUACAAUAAUCUUUUAAAAAAAUUUAAAUAAUUUACACUAUUUUAAAUAUAAAAUAUUUAUUUUUUAUAUCAUAAAAAAUAAAAUGACUUAUAUAUUAAAUAAAAAACACAAUUCAGUUUAGUUUUAGGUAACUGCAAUUUUUAAACUUGCAUUCCAUAAAUCAUCUAAAUAUCUUGGUUAGGGUUGGUUUUCGAUUUGGUUAGUUUGUUUGCACAACCUUAGCUCUAAGCGACUAUUCGACGAUUGAUACAGUGAAUCAGUACACAUUGAUAAGUAAAAGAACAUACUUUAAAUCCAAAUUGAUCUAACGGUUAGUGUCAGAGAUCGAAGAAGAAAGUUGUUUAGAUUUUAAUUUGUAAAUUUGUGACGUUCAAAACUAUUUCAUGAAAAAAAAUUGAACUAUAGAAAAGAAGAAAAAAGAGAUCUUUCGGUUGGUGCAAGGAUUGCAAGCGGAGAAGGCCAUACAAUAACAAUUUUAACAGUCCAUCAAGUUAAAUGAAAAUUUUCAAAUAGUUCAAUGACCAUUUUGAAGUUUUUUUAAGCUGACUGAUCAAAACAUAAAUUUACUAAUAAUUUAGCAACCUUGAAUGUAGUUUACUCAAAUUAUUAAUAAUGAUGUUUUUUUUUUUGUGAUGGAAUUUCGAUUGAAUUUUAUUAAUUAAUUUUAAAAAAAUUUAUAAAUCCAAGUAAAUGUAGGAAAAAUCUACUCUUUUUUGAUAUAAUGCUUAGAGCUACCCAUAGCCCUCCCCACUUUUAAAUAGGAGAACAAACUCAAACUCACAUCCUCCUACACUGACAACAAUGCCGAUGCUAAUCAAAUUAAGACUCAGUUGACAACUACAUCAACUUUUAAUUAUUCAUAUUUUGUAAAAGUAAUUUUUGGUGAAAGUUAUAGUGAAAGUUAUCAUAUUGGUGGUUAGGUGUGAUUGACCAUUGAGUUAUAAUUAUUGUAGCAUCAAGAAAAGUUAACCGAGUUGAUUAGAGUGUGGGGUGAAUAAAUUAAUUUUUCAAAAUUUUAAUAGUAGGAAUGGAAGAAUAUUUUUACAAUGUUAUUUCAUGAAUUAUGUAAAUAUAUUAAUUGACGUGACAAAUUAAUUUAACAUUAAUAUCUUAAUUAAAAUGAUUAUAUAUUUUUUUUACAAAGUAACAAAUAACGUUACGAGGGUUUUUUUGUUUUUUGUUUUUUACAUUUUUAUAUAAAAUUUAUAAAAUUCAAUUUAAACCCGUAAUAAAUCUCUAAAAAUAUUUAAACAUUUUGAGAUUUUAACUCGAGACAAACGGUAGUUUCUAGCCAAAAUUUUACCAUUACAAUUAAAAUUUUAUUUAUUUUUAUAUAAAAUUGUCCAUAAUUUUUUUCACAUGGUGAGUGUUGUUAAUAUAUUUUGAAAACAAAUUUAGAUAUAUUACUGAAAAUCAAUUUAUUUUCCAUAAAAACUUUGGAGUAUUAUUAGUAUAGGUCUAGAUUUAUAUGGUGGCCCGAAUAUGAAUUGGGCUUAAUUGAAACCUACGAAAGGCCUGAUCUAGUAGUUAAAAGUGAUUAAACCAUUUUUUUAAUGCUUAAUUAAACGGGAGAUACUUAAAUUAUUAGGUUUGUUUGAGUUAGGUAUUUAAAUUAUUUUUUUAUCUAUCCAAGUACCUAAACUUUGAAUUAGUUAUUGAAAUAAGUACAUGCUGUUAGUGUUGUUAAAAAAAAAAACUCUAGCCAAUAGUAUCGUCUCACGUUAUUAUUAGCGAUAGAGUCCUACUUGUUAUAUUUGAAAUUGACAAUUUAUUGAAAUAAAAUCUUUAGGUUAGAUUAAUAUUGUGGAAUUAUUCAGGCCCAUCAAUGAAUAUUAAUCCAUUUAGAGAAACUUAUUUUUAAGGAUUGGAUUGGAUCAGAUCAAUCUUACCAAAUUCUUUCGAUUAAGGAUGUUUGAUCGGGACAAAACUUGAGAACUUAUCUUCCAACAAUCCUCUUUACUUUAGUUGUUAUUUAUUAUAUUGGAUUUAACUAUUUAGUUAUUGUUCAAAGGGGAUUGUAAUUAAUCUUUAGUAUGUGAGUAAGUCUUGGAAAACUUUUAUAUAUUUGAGAUACUUGUAUAGAUUUCUGUAUUGAAUUUUUUAGAGCACUUACCAGUUCACAUAGGAACGUUAUUGUGAGAUUGCAAAUGAGAUAGUAAAACCUAUUGUUGCCUUGAUGGUGGUUUUACAAACUAUGUGCUCCGGGGGAGAAUUUCAUGUUGAGAAAUCUAGCCUUUGAGUACAACAUUGAGGUUACUAGACCAGGGUGUGAUAGAACUAGGAUUACUUGUUGUACUGAGUUCAAAGAUAGUAAAUUCAUCUCAUUGAGCUAGAUUGUGUAGACGUAGGAAACUGAAUUGAUAAACAAUUUCUUAUCAGCUUUUUUUUAAUCACAAUGUUAUCAGAAUACCCAAUUUCACUGUCACUUCCAUUCAUACUUUAUUUCUUAAGAUAUUAACAAUUAAUUUACGUUAACAUAUUCAACAGACAAAUAAUAAGUUUUUUUAACAUUAAUCUUAUUAUCUGUUCUUAUCAUAUCUGUUAUUUUUUAUACAAUACCAAAACUACCUAUAGCCCCUCUCCAACCCUAAAAUAAAAGGAUAAUGCGCUUCAGCACAUUCAAACCCAAACCCUCCUGCACUGACAGCAAUACCAAUACCAAUCAAAUUAAGACUCAAUCGAAUAGUUUUUUAUAAUUACAAACAAAUGAUAAAUCUAUUUCCAUAGAAGAUUUUUUGUGUAUAAUUAAAGUUAAGCGUCAUUUGGUUGUUUCCCACCCAAUGGAACCUGAUUAAUGGGAUUUUAGUAUAUCUUAUAAAGUAUUAAUUAAAUUUUAUAAUAAAAUCACAAGAAUAUGUUUGGUUGAUUAAACAUUUGUGUAAGACCUAAAUUUUGCCCGGGCCCAACUAAACCUAAAGCCCACACUACAUCAGUCCCAACAUUUAGCCUACUACUCUAAACCCAAUGACCCAAUACAAACAGCCCAAAUACUUAGCCCUAACAGCACACAUCCGAAAAACCCUAGCCCUUUGCCCCAGCGCCGCACGUCAGCUAGGAUCCCUCAUACGCUUCCGCAAAUGCCGCAGCAGUUGCUCACAUCGCAGCAACCACCCACGAUCAGAACACCUUGUCGUUUCCACAUACCUGUAACAAAUAAACCACGAGCAACACUAAUAGGAGAUACAGUAAAUUGUAAAGAAGUUUUGGCUAUAAAAAGCCAAUGGAUUUCUGUAAUAAGGGUUAGCAAAUUUUUGAUAAAAAAAUUAAAAGAAAAUACAAGAGAAAAAAACAUUUUGAAGGUGACAGCUUGUUGUUUCUUUUCUUCUGUUCUUUUACCGCUUUCAUUUUACUUUUGUUUUUCUUUUGUUUCUAAAACAAAAUAGAUUAAAUAAAGGGAGGUAAAGGAAAACUUACCAGCGUGGUGUCGAUGUAGCCCUUUGUUUCAUUACUGUCGGAGCAGGGGAGGAGUUUUAAGGGUAGAGAAACGACGCAAUGACAAAGAAAGAAAGAAAAUGGUUUUUAGGGUUUGAAAAAGGGUUUUUAAUUGAUUUUAAAACAGUGCCGUAUUUGGUGUACCCGAAUGCCCGCGUUGUAACACCCCUUACCCGUAGUCGACACUGAAAUAGGGUACGAGGCAUUACCAGAACACAUACACUUGUAAACAUAUUUAACCGAGUUAUAAAAUUUCAUCUAAAUUAAAACUUUCAAAAUUAUUAACAUGCUUUUAUAACUCUUCACAAUAUAUCCUCGAAAUGUUAUUAUAAUUUUAAUAAUUAAGGCCUACGAGACCCUAUACAUAUUCAUGCAAUUCAAUACUUCAUUUCCAUUUCACUCAAUUCGCAAUUUCUCAUGCUCACGAUUUAGAUCAUAUCACUAGCAAUUUCCAUUUAAUUCACAUACAAUUCAAUCUCAUUAAGUUUAACACUAAUACGCAUUUAGCAUUUAAUUCAACGUUUGUCCAUUAUACCAUUCGUUAACACAUUUAUGAAAUUCUAAAUUUUGCAAUGAAAAUAUCAUUUUAGCUUAAAUAACAACAUCAUCCUGGUAUAAAUACACUACCACUUAUCCAUUUUCUUUAAUUUUUUUGGGUCAAUUUGUCACUUACCGUCCUUAUCAAAUUAGGAAACUGUUACGGAAAAUUAAGUACUUCACUUUCACUUUGCCAUAGUAUAACUAUGGUCUUACGUAUGACCACUUAUCACUUGUCCUUGAACAGAUAAGUGUACCUAGGCUACCACUUAUCACUUUGUCACUUGAUCAGAUAAGUGUAGUUAAGGCUACCACUUAUCACUUUGUCACUUGAUCAGAUAAGUGUAGCUAAGGUUACCACUUAUCACUUUGUCACUUGAUCAGAUAAGUGUAGCUAAAGCUACCACUUAUCACUUUGUCACUUGUCACUGAUCAGAAGUACUCAAAUCCGGCAUUCCACUCAAUUUGAUCAUUUAUUCAGUUUUCGCAUUUUUAUUUUAUUCUCAUUUCAACACUAAAUAUGUUAGCCAAAUACACAUAUAGCAUAAGCAUUACAAGCAUGGAUGAGCACAACAUUUAUUCAUGUAUCACGCUUACCAACAUGUGUUAAUUCAUAAACCAUUCAUAAUUUUUUUAUGCCAAAUCAUAUACCGAAUAUACCAUACACACAUACUAUGAAACUUUAUUUUCAUACAUGAGCUUAGACCAUGACCAAUAAUGCACAAAUAUAAGCAUCAUUUUUAUUUCAUCGUUUAUCAAUUAUAAUCAAGCAUAUGACCAAUUAUACACAAAUCAUUCAUAUAUUUCCCAAUUUUCCUCCUCCUCCUCUCAAUUUCACAUCCUUAAUGUGUAUAACACACUUAAACAACAUUAACUAUAAUUUCAUUAUUCACUCACAUGUAUAUUCAAAAUUGUUUAUCCGAGUCAGAGUCACUAAAUUAUUUUUAUCUGGAGCUACAGAGCUCCAAAUGAAGAUCUGUUAAUUUUCCCUGAAACUAGACUCACAUAUCUUCUUGCCAUUAAAUUUUCAGAAUUUUUGGUUCAACCAAAUAGUACAGUUUAUUCUUUAAAGUUUUCCCUGUUUCGCUAUCUGACAGUUCCGACCACUAUUCACUAAAAAGUAAUUAUCUCAUUGUACAGAAUUUGGAUGUUGUUUCUGUUUAUUUAUUAUAAAAAUAGACUCAUUAAAGAUUCUAACCAUAUAAAUUAUAACUAACAUAUCAAGAACAUAUAAUCUUAUAUAAUAAAACUCUACAUUAACAUCAAUCUCAUACUUUUUCAAUAAUAUCAAACUCAAAAAUAUGUUGAAAUCAUGAUGUUCUUACCUUGCUCAAUUGACUUCAAUCUUUAACUUGAUUUUCUCUCUCCUCCAGCCUCUAUUUCUAGAAUCUAACUUGAUAUUCUAGCUCCCCAUAGUCUCCUUGCCAAUUUUAUCUCUUGGUGGCUAUGGAAAUUUCUUUGAUUUCUAAGUGAAAAUGAUAGAUUUUUGGUGAAAGGACCAAAUUGUAAAGAAAGCAAACCUUUCUUUCUUUUUCUCUGUUCUCACGUUGGUUGCAUGGAAGAAGAAGAUGAUUCUUCCUCUUUUCUUCCAUAUAUAUAUACUAAAUAAAAUAAUAAUAAAAUAAUAAAAUGUCAUUUAAAAAUCUAAUUAAAAUAUUAAUAAACUAAUAUUUACUUAUUUAUUUAGUCUAAAUAUCUCCAACAUCAUCAUUAUUUUCUAAAUUUUUCUUUCUUCUAAUUGACCAUUUUACCCUUUAGAUCUUUCAAAAUUCCAUCAUUGAGUCAUCACUUAAUUUGGUAAAAUUAUAAUUUAAUCCCUCAUAAUUCUUCAUCUAUUCAAUUUGGUCCCAAUUCAUCCAUUUUUCUUAGUUUCUAGAUUAUUCCACCCUUAAAAUAUUUACACUAUUGGUUCUUUAACUUUUUCAUAUUUACACUUUAACCCUCAACUUUUCAGUAUUUACUCUUGGGUAACAAAACUUUUCUCACUUUUGCAAUUGAAUCCUUUCUUGAAUUAAUAUGUCAUAAAUCAUAAAUUUUAAAAUAAUUUUUUUUCCUUGUCUGAAUUUUGGACCCGAAACCACUGUUCCAACUAGACCCAAAAAAAUCGGGCUGUUACACGAGUGACCCGAUCCAAAAACCCGAUCAGAUCCGCAUGUUUUAAGUUGAUGGGUUAUUUAUAAUUUAGGCCCUUCAUGUUUUAUGGUUUUCAAAAUCACUGUUUUUUUUAUUAUUUUCAAAUUUUUUCCAUGAAACAUUGUUAAUUUUGAUUUAAUCCAAUAUUGCGCAAUGCUUCGAGUGGUUUGGGUAAAUUGUUUUUUUGGUCCUCCCCCUGAUUGCGCAUGUUUAAAUUACUCCCUUUCUUAUUUUUAUUUUCAAAUUCAGCUCUCAAAUUCCGUUUGGUUUUGAAACUUAAUCUUUAAUUUGUUUUUUUCAGUUUUUUUUAUAUUUAUUUAUUAUUAUAUUGUUUAUAUUGUUUAUUAGUAUAAUUAUUACUAUAUUAUUAUUAUUGUCCGUAUAUAUGUGAGCAUGUAUAUAUGUUAAUAUAUAUAUAUAUGUAUAUUCUAAAUGUUUUAAAUACAUAUAUGUAGUACGUAUAUAUUUUAUUAUCAUAUCAUUUUAUUUUUAUAGUUUAUAUAUAUUUUAUAUACAUUCAUAUUUUUUAUGAUAUUUAUAUUUUCAUGUUUUAUAAUUCAUAUGUUUAUACAUUUUUAUAACGUUUACAUAUAUUUUUGCAUUCUUUUCAAGGCUAUUAUAAAUAUUUUCCAUGAUUUUAUAUUUACUAAUACAUUAUACUUAUACAUUUUUUUUAAAACGUAUUAAUAUAUUUUAUAUGUAUUUUAUCAUUGUUUUAUUUUUAUGACUUACGUUUUUUGUCUCAUAUCCAUAUACAUAUUUGGUAAAAUUGUUUAUAUAUCAUACUUAUGUAUACACAUAAUUUAAAUUAAAGUAUUUGUUUCAUAUUGCAUUGACAUUUUUAACAUAUUUUUCAAAUACAUUUUGAUUUUGUCAGAACAUUAAAAUCAUUUUUUAUGAUUCAAAGGUUUUCAAAAUAAAAACGAGAUUCAAAGUUAGGGAUUUUCGAGGAAAAUAGAGCCCUAACGUAUUGGGUUCCGAUUUUCUUUGUUAAUUUCAAAUAACCGAGAAUAUUCGUGAUUUAAAAUGUAUAAGUAAAAAUCAUUUUUGGGAACUUAAUUCGUUAUGUCCUAACAUAUUGGGCAUGACAUAAUUGCUUCCUCGAAAUGAGGAUUUACUUAUAAAGAAAAAGUGAUAUUCAAAAUUCGGGGAUUUUGAGAAAUUGUACCCUAACGUAUUGGGUCUGAAUUUCUUCGUAUGACUUGAAUAAUUGACUAUCCUUUUCAGAUUUCAAUGUUUGAGCUUAACAAAAUCUUUUAAAUUUUCGACACCAAGACAUUAAAUAAUUAAAUUCGGUACCGAUUUUUUUGGGCGUUACGAGGGUGCUAACCCUUCCUCGUGCGUAACUGACUCCCGAACCUGUUUUCUCAAAUUUCGUAGAUCACAUUUGUUUUUCAGGUAAGCCGAUCACACCUAAAUUACGGAUCGGUGGCGACUCAAAUUUUUAUUUUUAAAGGUCGACAAACUAAAUUUUUGUUUUCAAAAAAAUGGUUUCGACAAUUUGCUUAGAAUAAUUUAUAAAAAGACACUACUCUAAUUAAAGAAAAAAACAGACACUAUUCACGUGUCACGCGAGUGGUGUCAUUCGACAAUUAUUAAUUUUAUAUUAUUUUAUUAUUUUCUGUUAUAAUUAUUUAACAUUAAUAUUAAUAUAAAAUUUAUUAUAUAAAUAAUUUUUAUUUAACACAUUCAUAUUAUAUAUUUCAUUUAUUCAUUUAAAUUCUUAAUUCGAUUGGUAUGAGUAUUGGUGUCAAUACAGGAGGAUGUGAGUUUGAGUGCACUAAAACGCAUUAUCCUUCUAUUUAUAGGUUGAUGAGAGACUAUGAACAAUUCCAAAUAUUAUAUAAAAAAAAUAGUUAUGAAAAAUCUAUAAUGAAAUUAUUACUAUCAAGAAGAUAAUGCCUUUUCAUUAAUUUGAUAAUUUGAUAAUGAUUUUAUUUUACCUUUAUCAACUACAAUUAUUGAUUUAAAACUUCGAAAAUAACAUUUUUGAAACAUUUGAAAAUAAUAUUAUUAAAAAAACAGUUUAGAUUGAAUAGUUAGUAGAUUAAUAUGUUCUCGGAGGAUGUAGAUUAACAAUAUAAUUAUGUUUAAAAUUUUAAUUUGGAUUUUUAAAUAAUUUGUAUUUUUAACGCCUUAUAAAAAUUAGAGUUAAUUGUAUCAAAUAUCUCUAAAUUAUGACUCUUAUUUUAAUUUGGUCUUCAAAAUUUAAAUCAUUCUAAUUAUAUCAUUAAAUUAUCAAUGUUAUAUCAAAUAAGGUUCUUCCGUUACUAAAAUUGUCAACUUAACCGCUAAAUAAGAUGUCAGAUCUUACGUGAUAUAAUUUAAAAUGAAUAUUGUAUAAAUACCAAUUUUGAGGUUUUCAUAGAUUUUACAGAAAUUAUCGUUCAUUUUCCUCUCUUUUUUUGUUUGUCUUACUUUAUUUUAAUUUUUAAUUUUAAAAAUUAUGUAACAACAUUUUACUUUUCUUUAAAAUUUUAUUUUGAUUUAUGUCAUAUAAAAUUUUACGUGUCAUUUAAUGAUUAAAUUAACAAUUUUCAUAAUGGAAGGACCUGAUUAAUAAAACAUCGAUUGCUUUGAGACGUAAUUAGAAUGUUUAAGAAACAUAAUUAAUCAAGCUCAUCAUUUAAAAAAAUUAAAACACUUGUCGACAAAAAAAGAAUAAAACAGUAUCACGUGUCACGUGGGUAUAUAAAGUGGUAUUUAAUGUCUUGCAAAUAUGCUUUACAAAUAUUUAAUGUGGGAACUAAUAAUUAAACUAACAAAAUUAAAACGAUAUUUAUAUUUUAAAAAUUCAAUUAGAAUUUUUAAAUUUUAGAAAUUAAUUUAAAAUAUAAAUUAUAAUGGAAGGAUGUUUAGUACAAUUAACUAUUUUGUACCAUUAUAUCUUUUUGGGAUAACGUUAUAUUUAGUAUAUAUACUUUCAUAAAAUUUCUAAUGUAGUAUUUGUACUUUGAAAAUAUCUAAUGUCACACCUGAACUAUUAAUAUAUAUUUUUUAUUAUGGUACUUGCAAUUUUGUAAAAUAUCUAAUGUGAUACUUGAGCUAUUAAUGUGUUUUUAUUAUGGUACCUAGUGUUAAUACUGUUAAUGAAUUACUAAACCAGCCAAUAAAAAUUUGAUACGUAAUUUUUUUUAAAUCAUCCAAAUCCACAUGAAUAAUAUAAAUUAUAUAGAAAAAUAAAUAAAACAAAAACAAAUUAAUUAAAUAUAUUAUUAAUAAAAAGGAUCUAUUAUUAAACUUACAUAAAUAAAAAACAUCAUCUUCUUCAUUUAAGUAAAUUUUAUGUGCCAAAACUUUUAUUGAUUGCUUUAGCAAUUCACUAAUAGUGUUAACGCCAAGUACUGUAAUAGAACACGUAUUGAUAGUUAAGGUAUCACAUUGGAUAUUUUAUGAAAGUACAAGUACCAAAUGUGACACUAUCUUCUUCUUCUUCUUCUUUUUUCUUUUUUUCUUUUUUUGAGUUCUAAUCUUUUUAAUAGGUAUUUUUUCUAAUGUUGUAAAAGAGCCUAUUUAUUGGCUAAAUUCGUAGGUAAAAUAAAUUAUGCUAAUAAAUGCUAAAUAUAUUACACUAAUAAGUACUAAAUCUUCUAAAAAGAAAAUAUAUUUUGUUAAACUUAAUUUGCAAAUAAUCUCUUGUUUUAUUCAACAGGAAUUUGGAUCACACAACUCUAACAAUAAUACUUACACUUAUUAGGGAUGACAAUAGAGCGAGUUAGGAUAGAUGUUGUCAAAUCCACUACUGCUUCACAGUUGGUACACUUCACUUCACUUCACUUUACCACUUGCCCUGUUUUAUUACAUAUGUUAAACCUUGAAAAUUAUUACCACUUCUAUAGAUGUUGGAAAUACCCCACUCCAUCCCACAUCAAUUUAAUUUUUGUUAAUUAUUUCUAAAGUUUUUAAAUUUUUUAUAAGACAACUAAGCAUAACUUUUUAAAAAAAUCCAAACAUAAAAGCUUUUUUUAUAAUGCAUUUGUACAUUUUUACCAUUUGAAUGGUUAUACGAGUAAAAUGAUAAUUUUAUAUAGUAAAGAGCAAACAAUUAUUAUAACUGCUUCGUGCCAAUUAUCCGCCAAAAAAAAAAUUAUCCAAUUUGUCAUACCUUGCAACUAUCCUUCAUACAAAAAAUGUAUUCUAUUUAAAACUGAACGAUUUAAAAUCCAUAAAACGAAUCCUGUUGUAGCAUCCUCAAAUAUAUAAUACUUAAAAAAUGGUAGCUUUCAAUUUUCAUACAAGAAGAAACAAACCACAUUGCGUGAACUUGUUGACAAAACGAUAGCCUUUUAUCUUCUUCACUUUGACUAGGUGCAGUUCCAUUUGUGUGGUGGUUCAGCAUUACCAUCAUUAAUUACUACAAGUCAAAACCUAAUAAUGUUUUUUUAUAAAGGUAUAAUCACGAUUGUACUUUUUAUUAAUUAAAUUUAUUUUUGGUUGCACCAAAAUUAUUUAAAGCAUAAAUUUAAUAUAAACACAAAAUUGACAACUUAUUGAAUUUUAAUUUAAUUAGUAUUUUUAUUAUUGUAUUUAUCGAAAAAGAAUUUAGAUAUACAUAUUUUUUUUUUGUAAAUUAUAGAAGGAGAACAAAUAAAGGUGUCUAUAGGUCGGGCCGAGCCCAAUCAAAAUUUUAGUUUCGCUUGUAGGCUUGGGACUAGCUCGGCCCAGAUAAAAAUGUUAAAACUCGAAUUCAGUCUAACUCACUAGUAUUAAUUUUUUUAUUUUAUUUUUUAAAAAAAUUUAAUACAUAAAAAAUACUAUAACUAUUAAAAAUGUUUCUUAACAAAUUAAAAAUAAAUUAAAAAAACAUAUAUAUUAAAUAAAACUAAGAUAAGUGAUGCUAACCCAUGGAUAGAUCUAAACCUUUCAAUUUUUCGAAUGAUCUAACAUAUGGAUAAAUUUAAAAAUAAAAUCCUAACAAUAACGCAACUAAUGUGACUCGAACUGAUUGAAACAAUAAACAUUCUUACCAUUAAACCAACACUAUUCACAUUACUAUUACUAUUCAAAGAUUGGAAAAAAAAGAAUGAUAUUUGAAAGGGAAAAAAAGGAAAUUUACUUGCAAUAACUUGAGCAACAUCAUCCACAAAAGCUUUAAGGUUCAUAUCCAUGGACCCACCUUUCAUGGCGACUUCCCUGGCUAACCCUUUCCAUUUCUCUACAUUUUUCUUCACUUCCAUCCCUUUCUCAUCAUCCCCCAUCACCAAAUCCAAGCACCUAACGAUCUCAUCACGUUCCACGAUCCCUUCCUCGUUACCGCUCACUCUCACCCCAGUUCCCCACACAUCUUCAAUCAGCUUCGCACUAGUCCCUUGAUCCGUCCACUGAGGAAAAGCCACCACCGGUACACCGGUAACCAAGCUCUCUAACGUCGAGUUCCACCCACAAUGCGUCACGAAGCAACCCAACGACGGAUGAGACAACACUUCUACUUGCGAACACCAUGGAACCACCAUUCCAAAUUGUUCCAAUUCUUCCCCGCAAGUUAACUUAUCUUCUUCUUUCUCUUCUUCGCCUCUAUCUUUCCGGUUCCUCACCACCCACAAAAACGGUCACCGGCUGGAUAUUAAAGCUCGAGCGAUUUCCUCCACUUGUUGCUUCUUUAACGCCGCCAUGCUCCCAAAGGAAACGUAAACGACGGCCGAUUUUGGUUUGGAGUCUAACCAUUGGAUGUAAUUUUUGUUAACAUUAAUGGGAGACAACAUUAAUGGCAAACAAUACAAAGUGGUGCAAGUUUAGCACCCUAAAGUUGACUUUGAAAAAGUGGCAUGGGAUAAUUUUUUUUUGGUCCUUGAGAUAAUGGGCUAUUUAUUGUUUGGUCCUUAAACCUCAACUAUAAAUAGGCCUUCUCAUUUCUCAUUUCAAUUCAUCCCAACCAAUCUUUCUCUCUUAGUUUUCUCUCUUCUCCCAUUUGAGAAUUCUUAAGGAAUUCUAUUUGUUUGUAAUACUUUGGAGAUAGUAAAGUUAUCAUCUGGUGUUAGUGCCCGAGGACGUAGGUAUAAUUUACCGAACCUCGUUAAAACUCUUGUGUUCUUUCUUGUCCUAUUUUUCUUUCAAUAUUUGAGGGUAUAAUAGUAGUAUUUAAUUGUGCUAUUAAAUUACUAUAGAAGGGAUAUUCUGUCUAAGGAAAGACUUGGUAUUUAAGAGAUCCAUGUGAUCCACCUCUCUUCCCUGGGAAUUGAACUUUGUGUGAUUUUUUAGUACAAUAAUUUACACGCUUCCGACCCUAUUGGAACAACAAGUGGUAUCAGAGCCUAAGGUUAAUCGUAGUAUGCUCUGUGGUUGCAGUUUAAACUGAUCUUCCACAUCAGAAAAGAUUUCCUUAGGUAUAUUGAAAGAUUAUGGAGAAAACGGUCGGUGUAGGAGCUUCAACAUCGUCCAUGUAGACAAGACCGACAAUUGCAAAUGCAAGAUUGGCCGUGGAGAUCUUUGAUGGCACGGGCCAUUUUGGUAUGUGGCAAAGUGAGGUUCUAGAUGCCCUUUUUCAGCAGGGUCUAGACAUUGCCAUUGAUGAAGAGAAACCAGAUGAUGUACAGGAGAAAGAUUGGAAGGCGAUCAAUCGGUUGGCAUGUGGCACAAUUCGAUCAUGCCUUUCUCGAGAGCAGAGGUAUGCUUUUUCAAAGGAGACUUCUGCAAAUAAGUUGUGGGUGGCACUUGAAGAAAAAUUUUUGAAGAAAAACAGUCAAAAUAAGCUCCACUUGAAGAAAAGACUGUUUCGCUUCACAUACGUCCCAAGUACCACAAUGAAUGAUCACAUCACCAAAUUUAAUCAGUUAGUCACUGAUUUACUGAAUAUGGAUGAGACAUUCAAAGAUGAAGAUUUGGCUUUGAUGCUGUUGGGGUCACUUCCUGAGGAGUUUGAGUUCCUAGAAACUACUCUACUUCAUGGCAGGAGUGAUAUAUCUCUGAGCGAAGUCUGUGCGGCCUUAUACAGUUAUGAACAGAGAAAGAAGGACAAACAUAAAAACUCAAUCAGAGAUACAGAAGUUUUAGUAGUCCGAGGUCGUUCAUACACUCGGAAGAAAACUCAAAAGGGGAGAUCAAAGUCAAAGUUCAGACUCGGGAAAGAUGAAUGUGCUUUUUGUCAUGAGAAAGGCCACUGGAAGAAAAAUUGUCCAAAGCUGAAGAAUAAGGGAAAAGCUGCUGUAGAUGCUUGUGUUGUAAAGCAUGAUACCAGUGACUCUAAACUAUCACUGGUUGCAUCAUCAUCGUUGUUCCAUUCAGAUGAGUGGAUAUUGGAUUCGGGUUGUACCUAUCAUAUGUCCCCUAACCGGGAGUGGUUCUCUGAUUUAGUAGAACUAAAUGGAGGAGUUGUUUAUAUGGGCAAUGACAAUGCCUGUAAAACUGUUGGGAUAGGUUCAAUCCAAUUAAAGAAUAAAGAUGGAUCAACCAGAGUUCUGACUAAUGUUCGGUACGUGCCCAGUUUGAAGAAAAAUCUCAUCUCAUUGGGAGCCUUGGAAUCCAAUGGUUCAGUUGUUACUAUGAGAGAUGUGAUUUUGAAAGUGACAUCUGGCGCACUUGUGAUAUUGAAGGGCAUCAGAAAAAAUAACUUGUAUUACUACCAAGGUAGUACAGUUAUUGGAGCAGUCUCUGCAGCUUCCGGCAACAAAGAAUUGGACUCAAUACAGUUGUGGCAUAUGAAGUUGAGACAUGCCAGCGAAAAAUCCUUGCAAAUUCUGGCAAAGCAAGGAUUGUUGAAAGGUGCAAAGGCUUGCAAAUUAAAAUUUUGCGAGCAUUGUGUUCUGGGAAAGCAAAAAAGAGUGAAAUUCGGUACUGCUAUCCAUAAUAAAAAUGGUAUUUUGGAAUACGUUCACUCAGAUGUGUGGGGGCCUUCCAAGACACCUUCAUUGGGAGGAAAACACUACUUUGUUACUUUUGUUGAUGACUUUUCCAGAAGAGUUUGGGUGUAUACCAUGAGAACUAAGGAUGAAGUGCUUAGAGUUUUUCUUAAAUGGAAAACUAUGAUCGAAAACCAGACUGGCAAGAAAAUCAAGUGGCUUAGGACGGACAAUGGAGGGGAAUAUAAAAGUGAUCCGUUCUUCGAUGUGUGCCAAGAGUAUGGUAUUGUUCGACACUUCACAGUUAGGGAUACACCACAGCAGAAUGGAUUGGCAGAGCGUAUGAAUCGAACAUUGCUGGAGAAAGUUCGAUGUAUGUUGUCCAAUGCUGGGUUGGGCAAGCAAUUUUGGGCUGAGGCUGUGACAUACGCUGGCCAUCUUGUUAAUCGUUUGCCAUCAUCUGCAUUAGAAAGAAAAACUUCUAUGGAGGUAUGGUCUGGAAAACCGGCUACAGAUUAUGAUUCCUUACAUGUGUUUGGAACCACUGCAUAUUACCAUGUGAAGGAGUCAAAGUUAGAUCCGAGGGCAAAGAAAGCUCUCUUUAUGGGAAUCACUUCUGGAGUGAAGGGAUUUCGACUUUGGUGCUUAAGCAUAAAGAAAAUGAUCUGUAGCAGAGAUGUUACCUUUGAUGAAUCUGCCACAUUGAAAAAGGUAGCAGAUAAAGAUAUUCAGAUGAGCAAUACUCCACAGCAGGUAGAGUGUACUCCAAAACAGGUGGAGUUUGAGCAGAUGGGGAUUUGCCCAGUUAAUAAGUCUAAUUCUCCAGCCACAAUGGAGGAAUUAGAGGUUGAAAAGGUUCUGACCCAAGAACCACUAAGUACACCAGAACCAGUUGCAGUUGCAAGGCCACGGAGAGAAAUUUGUAAACCUACUCGAUUUACUGAUAUGGUGGCCUACGCCCUUCCCGUUGUUGAUGAUAUUCCUAUCACUUAUCAAGAAGCAAUGCAAAGCUUAGAAAGUGAUAAAUGGAAAAGCGCCAUGGAUGAAGAAAUGCAGUCUCUCCGGAAGAACAAUACUUGGGAGUUGGCGCAAUUACCGAAAGGUAAAAGGGCAAUCGGAUGCAAGUGGGUAUUCGCAAAGAAAGAUGGAUCUCCUAGCAAGAAGGAUAUUCGCUACAAGGCAAGAUUGGUAGCUAAAGGCUACGCUCAGAAAGAGGGAAUUGACUACAAUGAUGUAUUUUCCCCUGUUGUGAAGCAUUCUUCCAUUAGAAUUUUGUUGGCCUUGGUAACACAGUUGAAUUUGGAGCUAGCUCAACUUGAUGUUAAGACGGCUUUCUUGCAUGGUGAGUUAGAAGAGGAGAUCUAUAUGACUCAGCCAGAAGGAUACACAGAUACUGGUGGUAGAAAUUGGGUUUGUAAGCUUAACAAAUCGCUAUUUGGAUUGAAGCAAUCCCCGAGGCAGUGGUACAAGCGAUUUGAUAGCUUUAUGAGAAGGCAGAAGUACACAAGAAACAAAUAUGACAAUUGUGUAUAUUUGCAGAAGUUGCAUGACGGAUCUUUCAUUUAUCUACUCUUGUAUGUUGAUGAUAUGUUAAUCACUUCGAAGAGCCAAAAUGAGAUAGAUAAGCUGAAGGCUCAGUUGAAUCAAGAGUUCGAGAUGAAAGAUCUAGGUGAGGCCAAGAAGAUUCUCGGCAUGGAGAUAAGUAGAGAUAGACCGAGAGGCAAGCUCUGUUUAAAUCAGAAACAAUAUCUGAAAAAGGUAUUACAAUGUUUUGGUGUAAAUGAAAACACAAAACAUGUAAGUACCCCACUUGCUUCUCAUUUGAAACUUAGUGCUCAAUUAUCUCCGAAGACUGAAGAUGAAAGAGAAUAUAUGGUGAAAGUCCCAUAUGCUAAUGCAGUUGGGAGUUUGAUGUAUGCGAUGGUGUGUACGAGGCCUGACAUUUCACAAGCUGUUGGAGUUGUGAGCAGGUAUAUGCAUGAUCCUGGAAAAGGACAUUGGCAAGCUGUGAAAUGGAUUCUACGGUAUCUUCGAAAAACCGUAGAUGUUGGUUUAAUUUUUGAACAGGAUGAAGCACUUGGUCAGUUUGUAGUUGGAUAUGUUGAUUCCGACUUUGCUGGUGAUUUAGAUAAACGUCGUUCAACUACGAGGUAUCUGUUUACUCUUGCGAAAGCCCCAGUGAGUUGGAAGUCUACCUUACAGUCUACAGUAGCUAUGUCUACUACAGAUGCAGAAUAUAUGGCAGUUACAGAAGCUGUUAAGGAGGCUAUUUGGCUUAAUGGAUUGUUGAAAGACUUAGGAGUUGUUCAAAGUCACAUAAGUUUAUAUUGUGACAGUCAGAGCGCUAUUCAUUUAGCGAAAAAUCAAGUCUAUCAUUCAAGAACCAAGCAUAUCGACGUAAGAUAUCACUUUGUGCGGGAAGUCUUUGAAAAAGGAAAAAUUCUACUUCAGAAGAUUCCGACAGCAAAUAAUCCCGCAGAUAUGAUGACCAAGGUGGUAACAACAAUCAAGUUUAAUCAUUGUUUGAACUUGAUUAACAUCCUGAGAAUUUGAGCACCUUUAGGUGUAUGGCGCUCGAGAGUGCAUUUGUAGGCACUACAAAAGAUAGCUUUAUCGAAUUUGGGGGGUUGAAGGAAGUGUGUGAAGAUGUGAUUAUCCUAAUCAAAUCUUCAAGGUGGAGAUUGUUAACGUUAAUGGGAGACAACAUUAAUGGCAAACAAUACAAAGUGGUGCAAGUUUAGCACCCUAAAGUUGACUUUGAAAAAGUGGCAUGGGAUAAUUUUUUUUUGGUCCUUGAGAUAAUGGGCUAUUUAUUGUUUGGUCCUUAAACCUCAACUAUAAAUAGGCCUUCUCAUUUCUCAUUUCAAUUCAUCCCAACCAAUCUUUCUCUCUUAGUUUUCUCUCUUCUCCCAUUUGAGAAUUCUUAAGGAAUUCUAUUUGUUUGUAAUACUUUGGAGAUAGUAAAGUUAUCAUCUGGUGUUAGUGCCCGAGGACGUAGGUAUAAUUUACCGAACCUCGUUAAAACUCUUUUGUUCUUUCUUGUCCUAUUUUUCUUUCAAUAUUUGAGGGUAUAAUAGUAGUAUUUAAUUGUGCUAUUAAAUUACUAUAGAAGGGAUAUUCUGUCUAAGGAAAGACUUGGUAUUUAAGAGAUCCAUGUGAUCCACCUCUCUUCCCUGGGAAUUGAACUUUGUGUGAUUUUUUAGUACAAUAAUUUACACGCUUCCGACCCUAUUGGAACAACAAUUUUUUGAAUCGGAUUGAAAAAGAUCGGCUCUUAAGGAAUUAUCUAAUGCGUCUUUUGAGUUAAAGAAUGAAGAUGGGACUAAAGGUCCAAUACCAACUGUCUUGAACUUUUCAAUGGCGUUUAAUGCUUCGUGUUCCAAAGCAUCGAAGGUGUUAAUAAGGAUUUUAGCGUUGGGUUCUUCUGCGAGGACGUCCAUUUGUUCUUGGAACAACGACAGUGCCGACUGGUAAACGGUUGAAGCGAUGACGAACGAUGGAAGGUCGCGGGUGAAGAGUGGCGGCAGACCUGGUAAUUUUAUCGAACACUUGGGGUUUGUUUCAUCAGCUUGAGCUUUAAUGGCGGAUUCGUAUCCGUUGAAGUAAAAAUAAUAGAUGUCGAAAACGGUGGCGGGUUGAAUCCAGAGUAAAGCUGACGGGAUGUGAUGUUUACACGCCACCUCCGCAGCCCAAUGAAGGAGUAAAGAGUAGACAAUGCAAGUAAUGGGUUUACCUUCGUUUUCACUACUUGUUAUAAACUCAGAGAUGGCAUCUUUGCCUCGUCGCUAAAAUUCAGACAAGUAAUGGUCUGUGUCAUCGCCGGGUUUAAUUCCGUCAUCGUAGCCAUCUGAAAAAGGUAAAAACGAUAGGCCUUCAGCGGUGGGGACUUUGGUCAUGCGGCGGCUGGCGGAGAUGCUGGUGAUGUAAGUUACACGUACGCCGAUACGAAUAAGAUGCUUGGCGAAUUGUAAGGUCGGGUUUAUGUGGCCUUGUGCAGGAUAGGUCAAUACGAUGAAAUGAGGUUGUGGCAUGAUGGUGACGGCGGCGCGUGGGUAGUGAAUUAUCCUUUCUCUUUUUACUAAUUUGGAGUAAUUCGUGAAGAAAAUUAAUGGGUUUUUAUAGUGAUGAGAGGAAUUCAUAAAAGGUGGCGUUUGAGCUGACGAAUUUCAUAGAUUCCUAAACCUUUUUGGAUUUAUCUGGUGUUUUUUUAAAGCUUAGGUUGCAGCUUGAUGCAUGAUGCUGUCAGAGACAGUUUCAGACUACACGAGUCUUGGGGGUUUGAACUUGAUUCACCAAUUAUAAUUUAGGUUAAACUAAACCCCAACACUAAACUAGUAAGUUUAUAUUUGGUUAAACUACCUACCAAGUUAUCCAUCUAUGCGUAAACUUUUUUUUUACUCACUCAAUUUUUAAAACUUUCGAAAUGGUCACUCAAUUAAUUGAGUUCGAUAUUUUUGAUCCAUAUCCCUUAAGCAUUGUUAAAUGCCUUAUCUUUGCAUAUCUGGUAGAUUAGGUAUUUGUAAAGUUGAGGGUUAAUUUUUAAAAAUUAUGAUUAGAUUGACAUAAAAUAUAAAUUUUGAUGGCUAAAUUUGUUAUUAUACUAAUUUUAAAGUGUUACCUCAACCUCGUGUCAAGCCCUUAACUGAAAUGGACCAAAAAAUAAAUUUGAUUAGUUAGGUGACAAUUUGAAAGUUUUAAAAGUUGAGUGAAAAAAAAAAGAAACUUAAACAUAUUUGAGUGGCUUGCAAUGUAGUUUAGCUUUUAUAUUUUGAUUACUCAACUUUAAAAUUUUACAAAAUGGCCACUGAGCUAUUUGAAAGUUUUCAUUUAAGUAACUAAAUUAUUCGAAGUUUUUAUUUAAGUCACUAGGCUGUUAAAUAUUUUUUUUAAGUCCGGCUAGCAAGCUCUAAGUAGGGGUGAUAUCAGUUCGGUUUGGUUGAGUUUUUUGAGUUUUUCAAUUCUUUUGAAUUGUCCAUCAUAAUUCGGUUUGGCUCGGUUUAGUUUUUCUAUAUUAAUUUUUUAUUUUGAUUUUUUAAAUUUAUUUUGAUAAAAUGAGCUUUGUUUUAUGACUUUUGAAUAUUAUUUGACAAAAUUUCAAGGCUUUUUUAUAAAUAUUUCUAAAAUACACUAAUCUUUUAAAAACUUUUAAAUAAUUUACACUAUUUUAAAUAUAAAAUAUUUAUUUUUAUAUCAUAAAAAAUAAAAUGAAUUAUAUAUUAAAUAAAAAACACAAUUCAGUUUAGUUUCAUGUAACUGCAAUUUUUAAACUUGCAUUCCAUAAAUCGUCUAAAUACCUCGAUUUGGGUCAAUUUUCGAUUUGGUUAGUUUAUUUGCACAACCUUAGCUCUAAGCGACUAUUCGACGAUUGAUACAGUGAAUUAGUACACAUUGAUAAGUAAAAAAAACAUACUUUAAAUCAAAAUUUAUCUAGCGGUUAGUGUCAGAGAUCGAAGAAGAAAGUUGUUUAAAUUUUGAUUUGCAAAUUUGUGGCGUUCAAAACUGUUUCAUGAAAAAAAAUUGAAAUAUGGAAAAGAAGAGAAAAGAGAUCUUUCGGUUGGUGCAGGCAUUGCAAGCGGAGAAGGCCAUACAAUAACAGUUUUAAUAAUCCAUCAAAUUAAAUGAAAAUUUUUAAAUAGUUUAAUGACCAUUUUAUAGUUUUUUUAAGCUAAUUGAUCAAAACAUAAAUUUACUAAUAAUUUAGCAACCUUGAAUGUAGUUUACUCAAAUUAUUAAUAAUGAUGAUUUUUUUUAUGGAAUUUUGAUUGAAUUUUAUUAAUUAAUUUUAAAAAAAUUAUAAAUCCAAGUAACUUUAGUGAGAAUCUACUCUUUUUUGAUACAAUGCUUAGAACUACCCAUAACCCUCCCCACCUUUAAAUAGGAGAACAAACUAGAACUCACAUCCUCCUACACUGACAACAAUGCCGAUGCUAAUCAAAUUAAGACUCAAUUGACAACUACAUCAACUUUUAAUUAUUCAUAUUACGUGAAAGCAAUUUUUGGUGAAAGUUAUAGUGAAAGUUAUCAUAUUGGUGAUUAGGUGUGAUUGACCAUAGAGUUAUAAUUAUUAUAGUACCAAGAAAAGUUAACCGAGUUGAUUAGGGUGUGAGAUGAAUAAAUUAAUUUUUCAAAAUUUUAAUAGUAAGAAUGGAAGAAUAUUUUUUAAAUUAAGAUUAAUUUAUCCAUUUUUUAGUAAAGAGAAUAAAAUUUAUAACUAUAAUUGUAAAUUUUAAGUUUUGGUCCUUCUAUUACGGUUACAUUUAAGAUUUAAUUUUUUAAAGUAAGAUUUAAUCUUUAUAAUUAAAUUUCGCAUAAUUUGAUUGUCUAUUUUUACAAAAUGAUAUCAGGUAGUUGAAAUAAUUAACAUGCUUUUAACUAUUCUAAUUAAUUUUUUUAUUUUUUAUAAAAAUAUUAUUCUAUAAAAAAUAGCUUUUACAUAAUGAAUCAGAAUAAAUGUUAUUAAAAAUAUUCACAUCAACUACUAAAAAUAUUAAGGGUGCUAAUUAUUUGGGCUAACUAAUGAUACGACCUUUUUUCCAGUCAUUAUAGGAUAAUGAUAAAAUUGUAAUUUUUAUCUCUCUAUUAUGCUCGCAUUUGAGAUUUAAUAUUUAUAUUUUAAUUUGACAUAGUUUGAUUCUCUACUUUUAUAAUGACAUCAAUUAUCCUAAAUAAUUAACAUUUUUAACUAUAUCGAUUAGAAUGAUUACAUGAAUAUCUCAUAAAAACACCUUUCAAUACAAUAUAUAUAUUUCUCCAUAAAGUUCGAAUGGGUAUUUUUUAGGAAAAAUUGACCUCAACAUUUUGACCAGAAUAAUUAAAGGUAACAACUAUUUCAACUAACUAAUAUUAUUAUGUAGAGGAACCAAAUUAUAUAAAAUUAAAGAAUAGAUAUUAAAUUUUAUAUUUAAACAUAGUAGAGAGACCAUAAUCAUAAUUUAAUCUAAAACAAAUUAUCCUUAAUACAAUAUGAAGAUAUUGACUAUAAAAAAUUAAAAUUUCAUUCGAUUCCUAAAAAAUUAUUCUAACUUCAUCCUUUCCUAUUAUAAUUUUCAAACUUUACGUUACAUUGUUUUCUUAAAUAUUGGGUAUAUUAUAAUAUAUAUAUUCGGCUUUUAAUUUGUCACAAAUAAAUUUUUUAACUUUGUUAUUAAUAAUAAAAAUGGAUAGUUUUAAAAAAAUUAAUUUAUCUUGAGUGUGACAACGUGAUGAAAGUUUGUCCACACAAAAUCCGAAAGGAUUUCAAGGAUCUUCAACUUCGUCAGCCCAAACGUCACCUUUUUUCAGUGCCUCCCAUCACUUACAAAAACGCUUUGAUUUCCUUUCUUAGUUACUCCAAAUCCGACGUUCGUAGAGAAAGACCAAGUGAACUACCUACGAGCCGCCAUCACCACCAUGUCACAGCCUCAUUUCCUCCUAGUGGCCUCCCCUGCACAAGGCCACAUAAACCCAACCUUACAAUUUGCCAAGCAUCUUAUACGUAUUGGCGUACGUGUAACUUUCAUCACCUGCAUCUCCGCUCGCAGCCGCAUGACCAAAGUCCCCACUGCUCAAGGCCUAACGUUUUUACCCUUUUCCGAUGGCUACGACGACGGUUUUCAACUCCGCGAUGACAUCGACCAUUACCUAUCUGAAUUGAGGCGACGAGGCAAAGAAGCUAUCUCCGAGUUUUUAACAAGCAGUGAAAACGAAGGCAAACCCGUCACUUGCAUUGUCUACAGCCUGUUCAACCAUUGGGCCACGGAGGUGGCGCGUAAACAUCACAUCCCGACAACUUUACUUUGGAUUCAACCCGCCACCGUUUUUGACAUCUAUUAUUUUUACUUCAACGGAUACGAAUCCACCAUUAAAGCUCAAGCUGAUGAAACAAACCCCAAGCGUUCAAUAAAAUUACCAGGUCUGCCGCUACUCGCUACCCGCGACCUUCCGUCGUUCGUAACCGCUUCAAACGUUUACCGUUGGGGACCGUCGUUGAUCCAAGAACAAAUGGACAUCCUCGCUGAUGAAUCCAACCCCAAAAUCCUUGUUAACACCUUCGAUGCUUUGGAACAAGAAGCAUUAAACGCCAUUGAAAAUUUCAACAUGAUCGGCAUCGGACCUUUAAUCCCAUCUUCUUUCUUGAACUCAAGUGACUCCUUGGAUAAUUCCUUGAGAACCGAUCUUUUUCAACCCGAUUCAAAAGAUUACCUCCAAUGGUUAGACUCCAAACCAAAAUCGGCUGUCGUUUACGUUUCCUUCGGGAGCAUUACGGUGUUAACGAAGCAACAAGUGGAGGAAAUCGCUCGAGCUUUAAUAUCCAGCCGGCGACCUUUUUUAUGGGUGGUGAGGAACCGGAAAGAUGGAGGCGAAGAAGAGAAAGAAGAAGAUAAACUGACUUGCAGGGAAGAAUUGGAACAGGUUGGGAUGGUGGUUCCAUGGUGUUCGCAAGUGGAAGUAUUGUCUCAUCCGUCGUUGGGUUGCUUCGUGACGCAUUGUGGGUGGAACUCGACGUUGGAGAGCAUGGUGGCCGGUGUACCGGUGGUGGCUUUCCCUCAAUGGACGGAUCAAGGGACUAAUGCGAAGCUGAUUGAAGAUGUGUGGGGGAAUGGAGUGAGAGUGAGUGCUAAUGAAGAAGGGAUGCUGGAACGUGAUGAGAUCGUUAGGUGCUUGGAUUUGGUGAUGGGGGAUGAUGAGAAAGGGAUGGAAGUGAAGAAAAAUGUAGAGAAAUGGAAAGGGUUAGCCAGGGAAGCCUCCAUGGAAGGCGGCUCCAUGGAUAUGAAGCUUAAAGCUUUUGUGGAUGAUGUUGCUCAAGGUGGUUGUAACUAAAUUUAUCAUUUUCAAAUAAAUUUACUGUUAUAAUAGCAGCUAUAAAGAUUGUAACUUCUUUAAUUUCUAAGUUUAUUUCUUUUUCCUUUCCAUCAUCUUUUAAAAAAUAUAUGUAAGAUUGAAAUGCCCAAACAAAAACUCCUGUUUUAAGGACCCAAGAAGAGCUGGUCUGUUUAGGCUGUGUUAUUUAUUACUAAGAUGAGUUUUUGCAUGUAAAAGUAUUUUUUUCUCAAAAAUAAUAAAGAUUAGACAUUAUUCCAGAAAAAUUUUUAACUUAAAAAAAGUACCUUUUGGCUGAUGGAUAAAUUAAAAAUUUUAACUUUUCUACCUGCUUUUAGCUUCUAUUUAUAUUUUUAACCUUUUUUUUCUCCCAAAACUUUUAGUAUUUAUAUUUGAUAUACAAAUAUUAUUCCUUUUUAAAUCUUUAAUCUAAAUAUAUGUAAUAUUUUAAUUUGUUAGGUUUAUAUUUUCUAUGUUAUCUUAAUAUCUAAUAAGAGUUAUAUAUUAAAAUACAUUUUAAAAUAAAAUAAUACAAAUGUGUUAAAAGCAUUAAUUAAAAAUAAAAAAUAAUUUUUAAAAUAAUACAAUUGUGUCAAUAUCUAAUUACAAAUAUUUAAUUAUUAUAUUUAAAUAUUUAAAUAUAGUUUAUAUAUUCUAAUUAAAUUUAAUAAAUAAUUAAUAUUAAUUACUUAGAAAAAUUUAAAAUUAAUAUUAUAUAUUAAAAUAUUAACAAUAAGUUAUAAUAAUUUAUUUUUAUAAUUUUGCUAAAAUAUCAUAAUAUUAACUAAUUUGAACAUUAUUUAAAUACAUAUUUGUUACUUUAUAAUAUCAUGUCUAAAAUGGACAUUUUAUUUCUCAAAAGCACUUUUUGACAGCAAUAUCAAACACUCAAAUUUUAAAAAAGUAUUUUUCAAAAGUACUUUUCCACAACACUUUUCAAAAGCAAUGAAGAACUGGCCCUUAGUUUUUGAGCCCCAUCUAUCUAUCUCAAUCUCAAUCAAUGCUUUCCUUUCUUGCCUCAAGCACUCACUCGUUUCAUGUCCUAUCCUCGUCUUCCCUUUCUUAACUUUAUGAUCUCAAAAAAAAAAACCCAAAGUUUGAAUUUCGUCUAUGAACUUCCUAAGCAGAAUCAGGAUAUCUGAUUAAACAUGGAUGCUUCCAUUAUCAUAUGGAUUAAGGGUGCCAGUCGGUCUUAUUAUGCCCCUAAUCCAACUUUCACCAUUCGAUAUAUGAUUAUAACCUAUACAACAACAGUCAAAUGUGUUGUUGUCGUACCUCUGUCCCUUCAAAAUUAUCUUUAUUUGCUAUUCAUGUCUUCAUUUGAAUUGAUUUGUUUAUGGUUAUACAUUGCCGAAUUUGAUUUGUAUAUGGAUAUACAUUGCUGAAUUAAUUUAUAUAUGGUUAUACAUUACCAAAUUUGAUUUGUAUAUAUAUACAUUGACAAAUUUGAUUCGUAUAUGGAUAUAUAUCACCGAAUUGAUUUGAGCUUUGGAUUACUAGUUUUGUGCAUGAAUUGAUUUAAUUACGAAGUCGAAAGCUCCGAAUGAACCUUAGUAAAUGUAUUGGAUAUUGAUGUCAUGAUAUUAGGACUUUCGAGGUGUGAUUUCGCGUAAGACCAUGUCUGGGAUAUUGGCAUCGAAGUAAGAAAACGUGUAAGACCAUGUCUGGGACAGUGGAAUUGAUAUGUGUUAACAUAUAAGACCAUAUCCGAGAUAUGGUAUUGUACGAGUUUUAUAUGAUUUUCGUAUGAUCUUAACUAUUUCGAAUGUGAAUUUGAGUUGAAUGAUUCAGGUAUGUGUGAAGUUAUAUGUUCAUGCAAUAUUAAGGUAAGUUUAGCACUUAAUGUGAUAAUUUGCAAUUAUAUGAGUUAGUUAAAUGUUUAUGUGUUUGAGAUUUAUUUGAAUUCGACCUAGUUGAAUUGAAUUAUAAAUAUCAUUGAGAUGAUUGAGUAAGAGGUUAGUACGAGAUGAUACAGGUACGUACAGAACCUAUUCGAGUAUUUAAUAGAGAAAUAUAAUGAAAUGGUAUUUGAUCAUGUUUUAAGACAUUGAGAAAGGUUUGUUGUAAUUGUAUAUAUGGUGAUGUUAUGUACAAUUAGUUGAAUUGUAUGUAUUUGAUGUAUUGAAUUAUUCAUUUACGAACUUACUAAGCUAUGAAGCUUACUUCGUGUUAUUUUCUUAUGUUUUAUAGAGAAUCAAGGCUAGCUCGGAUUCAAAAGUCGUCGGGAACAUCAUCGCGCUAUCGAACAUCUAAGUUGGUACUUUUGAAUUGUAUAUAUAUGAUAUAUGAGAUGUACAGGCUAGUGUUAUUUUGGUAUGUUUUGAGUUAUGAUAUUAGCCAUGAGAUUUGGCUUUUAAAGGUUGGUGUGUAUUUGACCAUAUGAAUUGGUUGUUUAAGUGUUGAGAAAAUGCAUAUUUGAACCUAAGAUGAAUUUAUGGUUAUAGUAAGUUAAAUUGACAUACUUUUGAGUUAAUUUGGUACUAAAAUUGAAAUGAAAUGAACGAAGUUUAUUAGUUAACUUUUAUAUAGUAUUAUGGAUGUUGUUGAUCAAUUUGAUAAGUAAAUGUUUUAGGCAUGAUUUAAAUAUGUUUAAAUGUGAAAAUGUGUUGGUUUCCAUAUUGAUUGUAAAUUGGUUGCAGUUUAAAUUACAGGGAAUGUUAGAUAUUUAUAAAGAAGUUAUAUUGAGUUCGCAAAAAAAAAAAAUCUCCGAGUUUCCGAAUUAGUCCCGAGUCAUUCUUAACUCGUAUUAUGGACCUUGAGGGUUUAUCUAAGGGACUUUAAGAUUAUUUUAUAUUAUAUUUGAUAAUUAUUUGUAUAUUAAUUGUAAAUUGUCCGAUAGGUCUAGUAAUGCUCCAUAAUCCUAUUCCGGUGACGAACAUGGGUUAGGGGUGUUAUAAUAAGCAAUUUUUGGUGAAAGUUAUAGUGAAAGUUAUCAUAUUGAUGGUUAGGUGUGAUUGACCACAGUGUUAUAAUUAUUAUAGUACAAAGAAAAGUUAACUGAGUUGAUUAGGGUGUGAGGUGAAUAAAUUAAUUCUUCGAAAUUUUAAUAGCAAGAACGGAAGAAUAUUUAAAAAAAAUUAAUUUGUUAUUUGAUUUAACAUAUAGAGACUAAUUUAUCUAUUUUUUAGUAUAGCUAGAGAAUAAAAUGCAAUCUGACAUCUAAUACAAUGACCUCAAUAAUACUUUUACCUACAGUUGAUAAAUUUAUAACUAUAAUCGUAAAUUUUCAGUUUUGGUUCUUCUAUUAUGGUUACGUUUAAGAUUUAAUUUUUUAAAGUAAGAUUUAAUCUUUAUAAUUAAAUUUGGCAUAAUUUGAUUGUCUAUUUUUACAAUGAUAUUAGGUAGUCGAAAUAAUUAACAUAUUUUUUAACUAUUCUAAUUAAUUUUUUAAUUUUUUUAAAAAAUACUAUUCUAUAAAAAAAUUACUUUUACAUAAUGAAUCGGAAUAAAUGUUAUUAAAAAUAUUCACAUCAACUACUAAAAAUAUUAAGGGUGCUAAUUAUUUGGGUUAACUAAUGAUACGACCUUUUUUUCCCGACAUUAUAAGAUAAUGAUAAAAUUAUAGUUUUUAUCUCUCUAUUCUGCUCACAUUUGAGAUUUAAUAUUUAUAUUUUAAUUUGACAUCGUUUGAUCCUCUACUUUUAUAAUGACAUUAGUUAUCCUAAAUAAUUAAUAUUUUAACUAUAUCGAUUAAAAUGAUUACAUGAAUUUCUCUUAAAAACACAUUUCAAUACAAUAUAUAUAUUUCUACAAGAAGUUCGAAUGGGUAUUUUUAAGGAAAAAAUUGAUCUCAACAUUUUGACCACAAUAAUUAAAGGUAUCAACUAUUUCGACUAAUUAAUAGUAUUAUGUAGAGGGACCAAAUUAUAUAAAAUUAAAGAAUAGAUAUUAAAUUCUAUAUUUAAACAUAGUAGAGACCAUAACCAUAAUUUAAUCUAAAACAAAUUAUCUCUAACAUAAUAUAAAUAUAUUAACUAUAAAAAAUUUAAAAUUUAUUCGACCCCUAAAAAAUUAUUCUAACUUGCCUGCUACAAUUUUUAAACCUUACAUAAGAUUAUUUUCUUAAAUAGUGCAUAUUAUAAUAUAUAUGUACGACGUAUAUAUAUUUGGUUUUGCAAUUGUUUUUAACUUGGGCUUUUAAUUUGUCACAAAUAAAAUUUUUGACUUUAAUAAUAAUAAUAAUAAUAAUGGAUAAUUUAAAAUAAAAUAAAUUUAUAUUUUAAUUUAUUGUAUUGGAAUUAAUGAGAGAAAAUUUAUGGUCCUUCUAGCGCAAGAAUGUGUGUGACAACGUGUUGAAUGUUUAUCCACACAAAAUCCAAAAGGAUUCAAGGAUCUUCAACUUCGUCAGUGCCUCUCAUCACUUAUAAAAACACUUCGAUUUCCUUUCUUAGUUACUCCAACUCCGACGUUCGUAGAAAAAGACCAUGUGAACUACCUACGUGCCGCCGUCACCAUCAUGUCACAGCCUCAUUUCCUCCUAGUGACCAUCCCUGCACAAGGCCACAUAAACCCAACCUUACAAUUUGCCAAGCAUCUUAUACGUAUUGGCGUACGUGUAACUUUCAUCACCUGCAUCUCCGCUCGCCACCGCAUGACCAAAGUCCCCACUGCUCAAGGCCUAACGUUUCUACCCUUUUCCGAUGGCUACGAUGACGGUUUUCAACCCGGCGAUGACGUGGACCGUUACCUAUCUGAAUUGAGGCGACGAGGCAAAGAAGCCAUCUCCGAGUUUAUAACAAGCGGUGAAAACGAAGGCAAACCCGUCACUUGCAUUGUCUACACCCUGUUCAUCCAUUGGGCCACGGAGGUGGCGCGUAAACAUCACAUCCCGACAGCUUUACUUUGGAUUCAACCCGCCACCGUUUUUGACAUCUAUUAUUUUUACUUCAACGGAUACGAAUCCACCAUUAAAGCUCAAGCUGAUGAAACAAACCCCAAGCGUUCAAUAAAAUUACCAGGUCUGCCGCUACUCGCCACUAGCGACCUUCCGUCGUUCGUCACCGCUUCAAACGUUUACCGUUGGGGACCGUCGUUGAUCCAAGAACAAAUGGACGUCCUCGCCGAUGAAUACAACCCUAAAAUCCUUGUUAACACAUUCGAUGCUUUGGAACACGAAACAUUAAACGCCAUUGAAAAUUUCAACAUGGUCGGCAUCGGACCUUUAAUCCCAUCUUCUUUCUUGAACUCAAAUGACUCCUUGGAUAAUUCCUUGAGAACCGAUCUUUUUCAAUCCGAUUCAAAAGAUUACUUCCAAUGGUUAGACUCCAAACCAAAAUCGGCUGUCGUUUACGUUUCCUUCGGGAGCAUUGCGGUGUUAACGAAGCAACAAGUGGAGGAAAUCGCUCGAGCUUUAAUAUCCAGCCGGCAACCGUUUUUAUGGGUGGUGAGGAACCGGAAAGAUGGAGGCGAAGAAGAAGAUAAACUGACUUGCAGGGAAGAAUUGGAACAGUUUGGGAGGGUGGUUCCAUGGUGUUCGCAAGUGGAAGUAUUGUCUCAUCCGUCGUUGGGUUGCUUCGUGACGCAUUGUGGGUGGAACUCGACGUUGGAGAGCAUGGUGGCCGGUGUACCGGUGGUGGCUUUCCCUCAAUGGACGGAUCAAUGGACUAAUGCGAAGCUGAUUGAAGAUGUGUGGGGGAAUGGGGUGAGAGUGAGUGCUAAUGAAGAAGGGAUGGUGGAAUGUGAUGAGAUCGUUAGGUGCUUGGAUUUGGUGAUGGGGGAUGAUGAGAAAGGGAUGGAAGUGAAGAAAAAUGUAGAGAAAUGGAAAGGGUUAGCCAGGGAAGCCUCCAUGGAAGGCGGCUCCAUGGAUAUGAAGCUUAAAGCUUUUGUGGAUGAUGUUGCUGAAGCUGGUUGCAAGUAAAUUUAUCAUUUUCAAAUAAAUUCACUGUUAUAAUAGCAGCUAUAAAUAUUGUAACUUCUUUAAUUUCUAAGUUUAUUUCUUUUUCCUUUCCAUCAUCUUUUGUAAAAAAAAAAAAAGUAAGAUUGAAAAGCCGAAACAAAAACUCCUCUUUUUAAGGACCCAAGAGGAGCUGGUCUGUUUAGUCUUUGAGCCCCACCUGUCAAUCUCAAUCUCAAUCAAUGCCACUCACUCGUUUCAUGUCCUAUCCUCGUCUUCCCUUCAUUAAUAUCACUCCACCUUCUAACUUAAUAACUGAUACAUGAUCUCAAAAAAAAAAAGAAAAAAAAAAAACCCAAAGUUUGAAUUCGGUCUAUGAGCUUCCUAAACAAAAUCAGGAUAUGUGAUUAAGCAUGGAUGCUUCCGUUAUCAUAUGGAUUAAGGGUGCCAGUCGGGCUUAUUACGCCCCUCAUCCAACUUUCACCAUUCGAUAUAUGAUUAUAACCUAACCAACAACAGUCAAAUGUGUUGUUGUCGUACCUCUAUCCCUUCAAAAAUCUCUUUACUGUUGCUACCCAUGUCUUCUUUGAUAUAUAUGCAUAUUUUUAACCUUACUGAGCUGUGGACUUCAUUUGAAGUGUAACCAAGUUUUUGCUUUUUUUUCUUUCUUCUUCUUGUGUUUCCUGAAUUUAUAAAUUUUUUUCGAUUGGCUUCUAUUUAUGUUUUUUCAAAGAUUAAUAAUUGAAUUUAAUUAAAAAAUAAUUAAAUUGGUAAAAUAUAUAAAUGUUGAGGACAAACUUCAGUAUUAUCCCUUUUAAUACCUUUCAUCGUACUGGAGCAGGUAUUAUCGUACCAUGAAACUUGAAUAAGCCACCACACAAGUUUAUGCGCAUGUGGUUUUUUCUGGUUGUAUUCUGCUACUAGUCCUUAUACUUUAUGAAAGUGAUGGAUUUAGUCCCAAUACUUCAAUUUAAUCACUUUUAGUCCUGCACUUUUCAAAAUGUUCAAUUUUAGUCCCUAUAUUUUCAGUCUUUUGAAAUUUUCGUCCUAAACCAAAUAAUAGUAGUUCAAUUUGUUUGUUUAAAUUCAAUUACUAGCAUGUAAUUGUAGAUUUAAUAUAUAUUAUCCAUUUUCUUUGCAAAGUCUGUGAAAAACAAAACGGAUUGUUGAGAACAAUCCAAACACUAUCAAACACAGUUUAAAAAAAAAAAAAACAGAACAGCCUAACAUAUACUACUAAGCAGACAAAAACACUUUAACAACAGAUUUCCCCGUUGUAUUCUGCUGCAGAAAAUAGCAGACCAUCCCAGCAGCAUCAUCCAUUCUGCUUCAGCAGCAAAUCACCAAGCAGCUUUAAAGAAGUUUUUCCUUGACAUGCCUGUCUUUGCUAAAGUUUCCGCCAUUCCACUCUUUUUUUGAUUAGUGAUUGCAAACUGGAUUUCGGCAAUAUGUCUACAUCCAUCUUCAAUUUCCGCAAACAACUUCCUUAGCGACCAUGGACGAAGAUUUCUAUAUUUCAACUAAUUCAAUACCGUAUUCAAAUCAAGCUCUAUAAUCAAAGGAAGUUGCACCUUAUGAAACAAAUUUGAAAACAUCUCUAUUGCUACUUUUAUAGCCAUCAGUACUACCAUUUCCAAACCCUCCACUGCACAGUUACCUGAAAAAGAGCUGAAACAACCCCUUUCUCGUCCCGCAACACCCCUCCGCAGCCCGCUCUUUCAUCCAAAGAAACCCCAGCCACAUUAAAUUUCAUCCAACCGCAAGGAGGUGGUUCCCUAUCCAUAACCCGCACAUUCCCCACCCUAUUUAACCAGACUGCUCUUCCUUGGCCACCCCCACCAAUCACUCUCUGUGAAAAUACAUUCCUCAUAGACCACUCUUGCCCAUACAAACGAUCUCAAUUUUGUUUGAUAAAUUAAGUCAAGUGUUGUAGCCUUACCUUCAAACACUUUCUCAUUACGAGAAAUCCAUCCUGACCAACAUGCUGCUGAUACUGCCAGUAACCAUAAACUUUUUUGAAUGCCAGACAAAGACACUCUCCAGCAAAAGGAAAAGAAUUCCUCAAAGUUUGCUACGUCCUUCCAUCUCAACCCCCACCAGCAAAAUAUAAGCGACCAGAAUCUUUUCACAAAGGAGCAUUCAAAAAACAAGUGAUUGGUAGAUUCCGCCACUCUCUCGCACCAUGGACACCCACUAUCCGAAGAGUUGAUAAUAAUUCCUCUACUAAUAAAAAAUUCUUUCGUUGGAACACGAUUAAUCGCCAUCAUCUAUAGGAAGCUACGCUUUCUUGGUGGGACUUUCAAUUUCCAGAUUCUAUCAAACUGAAAUUCUACCGUUCCCAUCCCAUCAUAAGAUAGGAGAGACACAUUCACGACAUUAGUUGCACGCCCAGCUACAAACGAACCUGGCUCGGAUACCAAAAAUGUAGGGAAAAAAUAGUCACAGAAGACUAUUGUCAAACAACGUGUAUGCAAGGAAAAUACUAAACUAUAGAAAAUUUAAAAAGAAAGAAAAGCUGAACUCAAAAUGACUGAAGUUGCUGUAUUAUUCACACACAAAAUGAAAUAAACGUAGGCCUAUAAAUAGCCUUUACACCAUAACAAACUAACGUAAAAAUGUGCAACACUAUUGCACGAUCAUAACAAAAAAUAGAGAAAUAAGGAAAUUAACAAACUAAGCAUAGCACAGCAAAUCUAAAUUUAGAAAAACCGACUUUGAAUCAUUCUCCAACAUCGAAAAUGGUGGAGGGCUGAAUCCAGAGUAAAGUUGACGGGAUGUGAUGUUUACGCGCCACCUCCGUAGCCCAAUGAAGGAGCAAAUAGUAGACAAUGCAAGUGAUGGGUUUACCUUCGUUUUCACUACUUGUUAUAAACUCAGAGAUGGCAUCUCUGCCUCGUCUCUUGAAUUCAGACAUGUAAUUGUCUGUGUCAUUGCCGGGUUUAAUUUCGUCGUCGUAGCUAUCCGAAAAAGGUAAAAACGAUAGGCCUUCAGCAGUGGGGGACUUUGGUCAUGCGACUGAUGA